UUUUGGGGAUUUUUGUUCGAUCUCCAGCUUUUGCCCAAUUUGGGAGCGAUUUCUUGUAAUUUUUUUUGAAUUGUUGAAACCCUAAACUACCCUUCAACUCACAUGCGUGGAAUGGUUAAUCGGCUGGUGGGGUGGGUCCCACGGGUGCCACAUUAGCAUUUAACGAUUGACCGUCUGGUUAACUUAACGGAAGAAUGAAAUUGGACAAUGUUGAACACGUAAGGGCGUCAAUUGAUAAAAUUGAUACCAUAGGGCCCAAUUUGAGAAUGACACUAAACCAGCAAGGUGUCUUUUGUCAUUAGCCCCAAAAAAAAAAAAAUAACUCAAUUAUUAAUAAUAAAAGAAAAAUAACCAUAAAAAUACAGGGGAAAAAAAUUAAUAGGUAAUUAAAAAACCAGCAACACGGUCUUCUCCACACCCCUCCACCAUCGCCACUAAUCUCCUCCCUCACCCCACCCCUACCCUUCAUUCCUAGCCAACCGUUUUUUUUUUUCAAUCCAGUUUGUAUAAAAUCAUAUCUAUAAAAUGUGGUCUCUUUGUAAUAAGGAAUUGCCUUAAAAUAUUGCCCAUGAUUGUUGUGAUUUUGAUGAUGGUGAGGAGGAUACUAGUGUAACAGGCUCGGCUAAGAGGAGGGAUUGUCUUUUAAAAAACUUAAUUUAACUAUGAAAAAUCAAAAUAAUACUUUAAAAUCAAAAAAUCCCCAAUUCCCCUCCUCCAACCCCAUUAUCCCUUUCCAGUCGAGCAAGAGAAGGAGAUCUGG
rnacentral:lncRNA from 1 species